ACACACACACAUUGGCCACACCCUGUCCGUUCCAUUCACAGCAAACAUCUAACUUCUCUAAAUUUGCUUAUUCGCUUAUUAUCUGAAAAAUGGCACAAGUUUUUCCCUCCAUUCUUGUUCGUGGAAGCAUUGAGCAUUUGGACGCGCGGACGGCAAAAAAGUUGGGAUUAUUAUGGUCCUGCGUCAAAGAUUUUGAAAAGCUUAAGCACAUUGUUUUAGAAUUACAACCUGUGCUUCUGGAUGCCGAGGAGCAACAAGCCGAGAACCAUGAAAUCAAAGACUGGCUCGAGAAGCUAACAGAUAUCUUAUAUGAAGUUGACGACUUGCUGGAUGAUUUAUCCAACAAAGCUCUUCGGAAAGAACUCGUGACCCGAAAUAAGAAGGCAAAACAGGUGUGCAUCUUCUUUUCCAAAUCGAAUCAACUUGCAUUUAACCGUAGAAUGGGUCCUAAGAUUAAGACUAUUCUAAAUAAUUUAGAUCACAUUGCAAACGUCAUGAGAAAGUUUCAUUUUGAGGAACACCAUGUAAACAUGCCAGUAGAAGAGAAUAGGAACAGGGUUCGUAAUGCUUUUUGUCCCGAAGAAGUACUGAUUGGUAGAGAUGAGGAUAAAAACGCAGUUGUUGAUUUUUUAAUGGACUCCAAUGUUGAGGAGAACGUUUCAAUACUUCCGAUUGUUGGAAUCGGAGGUAUGGGAAAGACAACACUAGCUCAGUUCGCAUUCAAUCACGAGAAAAUCCAAAAGUAUUUUCCGCUAAAAAUGUGGGUGCAGCUCUCUGAUGACCUUGAUAUUGAAACAGUCGCUAAAAAAAUCCUAGAAUCUGCCACAAAUAAGAAAGUACCAUUUUAUGUUUCAGUGGACCGUCUUGGACGAGAAAUUUAUGGUAAGAAGUACCUACUUGUCUUGGAUAAUGUGGGGAUCAAGAAUCCUGGAGAAUGGUUUGAUAACUUGAAACCAGGUCUAGGGAAUGGUGCAAGAGGCAGCAAAAUUUUAAUAACUACACGUAGUGAAGAGCUGGUUGCCAAUAUUAGUAUGUGCACAGUUAAACCAUAUAACUUGAGAGGUUUAGAUGAAGAUGACGCAUGGUAUUUAUUUAAACUGAUGGCGUUUGAAAGUGGCCAAGAGCCAAAUUACAAUGAGACGAUUGUGAAUAUGGGAAAGGAGAUUGUGAGUAAAUGUGAAGGUCUCCCUUUCAUCAUAAUAACAAUUGGAAGGUUAUUGUAUUUCAAAAAUUCAGAAACAGAGUGGUUGUCUUUUCUGAAUAAUGUACUUUCAAGAAUACGUCUAGAUGAAAAAGAAAAUAUCUUAGCAACUCUGAAGUUGAUUUACAAUGAACUUCCGCAGCAUUUGAAACAAUGUUUUGCUUAUUGUAGUUUAUUUCCAAAGAAUUACAAGAUUGAUAAAUCAACAUUGAUUAAUCUUUGGAUAGCACAAGGAUUUAUAAAGUCGUCAAAAGAAGCUGAAGGCCUUGAAGAUGCUGGUCAUGAAUACUUGAUGGAUUUAAUUUCGAGAUUUUUCUUUGAAAAAGUCACAACAGAUUGGUCGGGCGAAGUCACUAGCUUCGAAAUGAAUGACCUCAUGCAUGAUCUUGCUAUGUUGAUUGCAGGACCGUCGGUAACCAGAUUAUACGACCCUGGACAAGCGAGAGUUAUAAACGAGAGUACUCGUCAUGUAUGGCUUGAUUACUCUAUGGGGAUCAAUUCAGUUUCUGAGGCAAAUUAUUGUAGAAUGCGAACAUUUCUUUCACCAAGUGACAUUAAGCCUUGGCGCAUGAAAGAAUUUGAUAAACUCUUUGGAAGCUUCAAAACAUUGCGGUUGCGCGCAUUGCAAUUGGGUAGUAGAAUCCUAUAUGGUAAAGCGUCAAGCUGGUUUUGUAAGUUGAAUAGUUUAAGAUAUCUUGAUCUUUCAGGAAUGUACUUGAUGAAGAAGUUACCAGAUUCUAUAACCAGCUUGCAGAAUUUGCAGACGUUAAAACUAUGCAAUUGUAGUUGGCUUGAAGAAUGGCCCAGAGACUUUUCAAGAUUAGUCAACCUCAGGCAUCUUGACAUCAAUGGAUGCUGGAAACUGACUUAUAUGCCACGUGGAUUGGGGCAAUUGACAAAACUUCGGUCACUAUCAUACUUCCUGGUAUCCCCCCUGGAAUCUGAUCUCAACAUGCGUAGUGCCGGAUUAAAUGAAUUAAAUGGACUAAAUUACCUAAGAGGAGAUUUACAGAUUAGCAAUUUGGGGUGUGGGAAAGAUGAUGCUAAAGAUUUCUCGGCUGCAAAUUUGAAGGAGAAACAAAAGAUUGGUUCUCUAAAAUUACAUUGGGGCGAUUCAUUUGGGUGGAGGGAUGAUGCCGAUGCUGAAAAAAAAUUGUUCAGCCUAGAACCUCACAGCAAUCUUAAAAGGCUUGAAUUAAUAGGUUACAAAGGUGCGAAGUUUCCCAUUUGGCUUUCGAAUCUCACAAAUCUUGUUGAACUUCAAUUAUCAAACUGUGAAAAACUGAAAGGUUUGUUUAAUACUUGGACACUAUCGAGUAAACUGCCCUCUCUUAAGCGCCUGUUUCUUAAAUACUUGGACGCUAUUGAGUACAUGUCAGAUGGUGAUUAUGGGAACGAGUCUUCUUCUUUAUCAGCGCCAGACGUAGCAAUAUUCUUCCCAUCCUUAGAGGAACUUCAACUCCAUUAUUGCCCUAAUCUCAAGGGGUGGUGGAGGAAAGAGCCUCCUUUACUCCCUUCAUUUCCUUACCUUUCAGAGCUAUCCGUCUUGGGUUGCACUGUUCUGGAUUCCAUGCCGAUUUUUCCACGACUUGAAAAAGAGUUGGUCCUGUCUAAUGCCUGCUGGAAGCCAAUGCAACAGACAUUGAUGAUGAAUAUGGGUACGCCAGUUUGCUCAACUUCAACAACAGUAGACUCCUCUAUAUUUGCCUCUUCUUCUUUCGUUCCUCUCUCAAAAUUGAAGCGUCUACUACUAAAUAGCAUAGAAGAUCUACAGAUUCUCCCAGAGAAGGGACUGCAAAACCUGAAUUCUCUCGAGUCUUUGCAGAUUUUCCGAUGCCAUAGAUUAAAGUCUUUGUCUCAAGGUAUACAAUAUCUCACUGGACUUCAACAACUGAAGAUUAAUGACUGUGAUAAGCUUGAUCUAGGCGGCAAUGAUGAGGCUGGGAUGGGAUGGCAAGGCCUUAAGAGCCUCCUGUAUCUGGAUUUCGUCGGGCUUCCAAAAUUGGUGCAUCUGCCGUCAGGUCUUCAACAUGUUACCACUCUACAUAAGUUCCAAAUUUCGAGUUGUUGCAUGUUGAGGGCCUUACCAGAUUGGAUUUGCAAAUGGACAUCGCUUCAACAGUUCGAAAUUUCUAAUUGUCCUAGUUUGACUUCGCUGCCCGAAGAAAUGCGUUUGUUGAAGUCUUUGGAAGUGUUGACAAUUAGAAACCACUGUCCCAAAUUGUUGCCAAGAUGCGAGCGCGAGACGGGAGAGGAUUGGUCCAAGAUUACUCACAUCCCUAAAUUGUACUUGGAUCGGCCCUCCGAGUUGCAGGAAGAAGUGAAGAACGUUAGAAAGAGGUUCAAUGCUUAUCAUAAUUAUCCUAAUUCACAAGUCAACAAUUCAGCGGAAAAGAGUCAUACUACAGGUACGGACCAAAAUACGGAUAAAAAAAGGACUCCUCGCACAUUUGUUACUAUUAAUUACACUGUUCAACAAGAAGGUGAAAGAAAAAUACAGAGGAAAUUUAGGAGAAAAGGGCGGAAGGGGGUGAUCUGGACGGAGGCAAAAAGGUUGUUGAGAAAUCGAGGAGGAGGAGGGGGGUCAAGUUAAGGGUGUCGUUGUCAAGGAUGGAUAUCUAAAAUGAUUUCCAUGAGUUGCCGGGACAAAGGGUGCGCGCCCAUGGCUACAAACUGCAGCCAUCACUCUUUGAAUAUAAUUAGAUCUUGCAGGAAAGAUUUGGUUCACAUGGUGGAGCAUAUAUGAAGAUGAUGACUACAACAUGAUGAUGCAACCAAGUGCUUGAGACUUCUGUAUUACUGCAUUCCAUGAACGUCAUCUGCCAUCAAGGAUUUUGCAGUUGGAUGUUGUACAGAAAAGAAAGGACUUCCAACUAAAAAAUGGAGGAAAAUCUUCUUCGUUUGCUUCAAAGAUUCAUAUAAAUGCUUGUGACAAAAAGAAUGAUGGAGAUACAAAAUGAUAUUGAGUGCUGAUUCCUGCUGGUGGGAGUAACAACAAUUGCCUACACAAAUUUAAGAAAUUUCAAAUUCAUCAGAACAUGAAUAUGCAAUUCGAAUAUUUUUCUCUUAGUUCUGUUCCCAAGUUUUGUGGUGUGUUGAAUUCAUAGAUACCUUCAAGAAUUAUCUUCACUUUGCAUUGUUUGAUGUAAUCAUGAACAAGAAAUCUAUCCAUACUUGAUGCAAAUGCUGUAUUCGAAUUCCACAGGGCACAAGCUUUCUUGAA